AACGCACAUUGCGCCCGCCAGUAUUCUGGCGGGCAUGCCUGUUCGAGCGUCAUUUCAACCAUCAAGCCCUGCUUGUGUUGGGGUCCUGCGGCUGCCCGCAGGCCCUGAAAACCAGUGGCGGGCUCGCUAGUCACACCGAGCGCAGUAGCACAUCUCGCUCUGGUCGUGCGGCGGGUUCUUGCCGUAAAACACCCCCCUUUUAUCAAGGUUGACCUCGGAUCAGGUAGGAAUACCCGCUGAACUUAA
rnacentral:misc_RNA from 1 species